AGUGAACGCUGGCGGUAGGCCUAACACAUGCAAGUCGAACGGCAGCACAGUAAGAGCUUGCUCUUACGGGUGGCGAGUGGCGGACGGGUGAGGAAUACAUCGGAAUCUACUUUUUCGUGGGGGAUAACGUAGGGAAACUUACGCUAAUACCGCAUACGACCUACGGGUGAAGCAAGGGGUCUUUCGAACUUUCCCGGAUUAAUUGAGCGGAUGUCGGAUUAGCUAGUUGGCGGGGUAAAGGCCCACCAAGGCGACGAUCCGUAGCUGGUCUGAGAGGAUGAUCAGCCACACUGGAACUGAGACACGGUCCAGACUCCUACGGGAGGCAGCAGUGGGGAAUAUUGGACAAUGGGCGCAAGCCUGAUCCAGCCAUACCGCGUGGGUGAAGAAGGCCUUCGGGUUGUAAAGCCCUUUUGUUGGGAAAGAAAAGCAGCAGGUUAAUACCCCGCUGUUCUGACGGUACCCAAAGAAUAAGCACCGGCUAACUUCGUG
rnacentral:rRNA from 1 species